rnacentral:rRNA from 1 species
UACGAAGGUGGCAAGCGUUGUUCGGAAUCACUGGGCAUAAAGCGCGUGUAGGCGGCUGGGUAAGUCGGGUGUGAAAUCCCUCAGCUCAACUGAGGAACUGCGCCCGAAACUACCUUGCUUGAGGUCUGGAGGGGAGAGUGGAAUUCCCGGUGGAGCGGUGAAAUGCGUAGAUAUCGGAAGGAACACCGGUGGCGAAAGCGGCGCGCUGGAUCCCUUCUGGACGCUGGAGGCGCGAAAGCCAGGGGAGCAAACGGG